CUCGUAGGUGGCCAACUAAGUCAUACGUGAAAUCCCUCAGCUUAACUGGGGAAUUGCGUCUGAUACUGGAUGGCUUGAGUUUGGGAGAGGGAUGCGGAAUUCCAGGUGUAGCGGUGAAAUGCGUAGAUAUCUGGAGGAACACCGGUGGCGAAGGCGGCAUCCUGGACCAAUACUGACACUGAGGAGCGAAAGCCAGGGGAAGCAAACG
rnacentral:rRNA from 1 species